rnacentral:rRNA from 1 species
GACGAACGCUGGCGGCGUGCUUAACACAUGCAAGUCGAACGGACAGGCCCUUCGGGGUACUCGCGUGGCGAACGGGCGGGUAACACGUGGGUGAUCUGCCCACCACUCUGGGAUAAGCCUGGGAAACCAGGACUAAUACCGAAUAGGACGACGCGAUUCUUGGCGUGAGGUGGCAAGAUUUUGCGGUGGGGGAUGGGCCCGUGGUCUAUCAGUUUGUUGGUGGGGUAAUGGCUGAUCAAGGCGACGACGGGUAGCCGGACUGAGCGGGUGACCGGCCACACUGGGACUGAGAUACGGCCCAGACUGCGACGGGAGGCAGCAGUGGGGAAUAUUGCACAAUGGGCGCAAGCCUGAUGCAGCGACGCCGCGUGAGGGAUGACGGCCUUCGGGUUGUAAACCUCUUUCACCAGGGACGAAGCGUAAGUGACGGUACCUGGAGAAGAAGCACCGGCCAACUACGUG